rfam:Lepisosteus oculatus linkage group LG9, whole genome shotgun sequence.
GCCGGCAGCCAUAUCACUCUGCAACUCACAGCUGGCAGCCCACUGAAGCUCAGCAGGUGUGAGCCUGGCCAGUACCUGGAUGGGAGACCUCCUGGGAAAAAACUAAGGUUGCUGCUGGAA